UUAGGCUACGUGUCAUCUGACAUUGCUGAUCCUGACCCUGUGACCCCUAACUUGCUGUUGAUGGGGCAGCAUGAUGCUUCUCUUCCUCUGGUAACCUAUCCAGACUCUGAGCUGUAUAGUCGCCGUCAAUGGCGGCAUAGUCAAAUCCUCUCUGACCAUUUUUGGGCCCAUUUCCUCAGAAAUUACCUCCCUUCUCUUCAGUCCAGACAGAAAUGGCGCACAGACAAUCCUAACCUGCAACCUAACACUGUUGUGCUAAUUCUGGAUCCUCAACUUCCCCGAUCCCAAUGGUCAGUGGGUAAAAUCACCUCCCUCCAUCCCAGCACAGAUGGCCGUUGUAGGGUUGCUAAUGUCCAAGUCAAGGACAGGACAUACACGAGACCUGUUGCCCACCUUAUCCCUCUCCCAGCCCUACCUGAUACCCCCUGAGUUGUCAAAUUUGCUGUACAAAUUUGGGGGCGGCUGUUGAGGAGUUUUUUUUGUUGCAGCCUCAAAAUAAGUGCCACACCCCUCUAGCAUACUAAUUUCCCUAUUAGCCCUAAGCUCCACCCAACCAAUCAAGUCAAUUAGGACUCCCCUCAGGCUUUAUUAGCUGCACCUGUGCCCACAGCUUCUCAUUUCUGUUGUAUGUGGCUGUUCUGUGCAGGGGACUGACUUUUACUCCCUUUGAUUUCCUGCGUGUGCGUAACUGAUUAUAAACCACACGCUCACACGCUCAUAUAUAAUAUACAAUACCCUUGGAUGUGCAAUAAAAACCUUGUGAACCUGA